AGCAGUGGCGGUGGCGUGGAAGCCAUGACCGCCACUAAACACUGCACCUGAACUGGCUGAGGUGGUAGCUGUUAAAGUCUGAAAGAAAAUAUAACUGUAAGCAGGUCACAGAAAUACAGGGCGAACAAAUAGUAAAGCGACAGGAUAAAGCGGAGGUGUGAGUCCAUCUGUCGUCACCGCAACAAAAUACCCGAGGAAAUGUGGAAAACCUUGUGCUGUCUCCUGCUUCAGAGGCACCAGCCCUAGGUCACGCUCAGCCUGGGCCUGUGGUGAGAUCCACCUCACAGCAGAAGUUUGUGUUGCUCUCUCACACUAACGGUUUGAGAAUUUGAUCCCUUCUGCUACCUAGAAGCUGGUUGCCCCUGAGGUCCCUCCUUCCUCUAGCAUACCACUCCUCAGAAUGUCCAGAGAUGACGCUGCAAGGACCCGUCUGUGACGAACUAGGGCACUGAGGAGAGCGUUCUCCAGGUUCCUUCCUCUUCCUGCGUUGCCAUUGUUACCGUGUGACAUUCCAGGGUAGGAGAGGACACCGAGAGUCAGGAGAGACAACAGCACACUCCGCCCAUUUCAAUAAAGAGAAAAGCAAUCUCGAGAAAGCAAACGACCCCUGCCAACCCUCGGUUGGAAUCUCAGGACUCUGACUGCGUAUGCUCUACCCAGUGGAAACGUUCGCCACAUGGGCUGGGGAGAUGACUGGCUUGGGUGAAGCACUUGCUACACAGCCCAAGGACCUGAAAUCAGAACCCCAGAACCCUUAGAAAGACUGGCGUGGCUCCCAGCACCCUACAGGAAAGUGGGAAGCAGCGACAAGAACAUUUCUUGGCAAACUGGGAAGGAGGAGGAGUCCCCAACUGGAACAAGGUGAGGGCCGACACCCAAGGUUGUUCUCCACCCUCCACCCAUGUGCUGUGGCAUGCACUAGUCUCUACUCACACCCACAAACAUAGGUCAUCAAACACAGGCUCGCAGUGUGGCGGGUGGGGAGAGGGAGAGAGAGGUGGGUUUUUUUAGUUUGGUUUGGUUUGGUUUGGUUUGGUUUGGUUUGGUUUGGUUUUUUAAAGAACUUGAGAACCUAUGGGGCUUAAUGUUUGAAGAAACCACUGAAAUAAAGUGCAAAGAAAAGCCAUACUAGAUGAAGAGAAAGGGGACAACAUUUGAAAUGUAAAUAAAGAAAAUAU
rnacentral:lncRNA from 1 species